GACGAACGCUGGCGGCGUGCCUAAUACAUGCAAGUCGAGCGCAGGAAGUCAUCCGAACCCUUCGGGGGGACGUUGACGGAAUGAGCGGCGGACGGGUGAGUAACACGUAAAGAACCUGCCCUCAGGUCUGGGAUAACCACGAGAAAUCGGGGCUAAUACCGGAUGGGUCAUCGGACCGCAUGGUCCGAGGAUGAAAGGCGCUCCGGCGUCGCCUGGGGAUGGCUUUGCGGUGCAUUAGCUAGUUGGUGGGGUAAUGGCCCACCAAGGCGACGAUGCAUAGCCGACCUGAGAGGGUGAUCGGCCACACUGGGACUGAGACACGGCCCAGACUCCUACGGGAGGCAGCAGUAGGGAAUCUUCCACAAUGGACGAAAGUCUGAUGGAGCAACGCCGCGUGAACGAUGAAGGCCCUCGGGUCGUAAAGUGCUGUUGUAAGGGGAGAACAAGUGCCGCAGGCAAUGGCGGCACCUUGACGGUACCUUGCGAGAAAGCCACGGCUAACUACGU
rnacentral:rRNA from 1 species